rnacentral:lncRNA from 1 species
GUUUGGCCUCUCAGUAUUACACCUGAGAGGAGAAGAGAAGAGAGGAGAAGAGAAGAGAGGUCACUGCACUGAAGGACUGUUUGGUGCUUUAUUCCUUCACUUCCAUUGUGUUCACAUAAGUUUAAGGAUGCUUCCACCCUAUCUAGAGAUCUUCCUGGGAGUCACAGGCUUCGGCCUCUGCAUCAUGUUCUGCAUCACCUUCUGCAGAGCAUGCACUCGCUUUAGAGAGGAGCAGAUAGAGAGGGAAGUGGCGAGACGCACCGAACACGACGGGCACCCUCGGUCCAUAUACGUCAUCCCCUUCCCUCGAAGCAUGUCACGGCAGAACAGUGAGGGUGGUGGCGAGCGAGGCAGCAGCCCUCCACGUUAUAGCACUGCUGCCAUCUGUGGACCUCCUCCUGCCUAUAAUGAGGUAUUUCAGCAGGGAUGUAAACCUGACGACCCUCCUCCUGCUUACACAGAACAAACCAUUCCUGUGUAAUACCACCCCAUCACUUACAUGCAGCACAGGCACAACCAUAAUGCAGGAUGUGUGCCUGUGCUGCACCGCCUCAUGGACUUAUCAUAUUUUUUAUUGUGAACAUGUUUUUUUUUAUUAUUGUGAAUCAGAGACACCAGGCUAAAAGCUACAAUGCUGUAAAAGAGCAGCACGUCCUCCAUCCAUCUCCCCCUGAACCACUUAAAGAGAUUUUAUUCCCAUGUUGCAUGAUUGUUAAAACGUGUGCAUCACUUCACUCAUCUGGUGUUGUCACAUCUACCAUGGAGUGUUUGGUUAGAUGGUACGUCUCACUGUUUGUUUAUGAGUGGAUUAUCUUUCAUAAAAAUUACACAUCUAGGUUCAACUAACAUACACCUGAGUUGCAUUCAGGGUCCGUUUUGAGCAGUUUUUUUUUUAAAGUGAGGGGGAUGGCGUCUUCCCAAAUGAUGUGGCUGCAUUAAAAGAGCCAGCUGCUUAAAUGAAAUGUGUAAAUGAGCAAAUCAAAAUAAAAAAAAAAGUUUUAAAAACUCA